rnacentral:rRNA from 1 species
AUAACAAUACAGGACUCUUUAAAGGCCCUGUAAUUGUAAUGAGUCCACUUGAAAUCCUUUAACUCUGAUCAAUCGGAGGGCAAGUCUGGUGCAGAGUGACUGACCUGUGCGUGUUGCAGCUGAAACUUCACUAUCGCCUGCUGCUG